ACUGCACCUGUCGUCGGCUUCUUUGACGCCCACGUGGAGUUCAACACUGGCUGGGCCGAGCCCGCCCUGGCGCGGAUCCGCGAGACCGGCGGCGCGUGGUCCUGCCGGCCAUCGACAACAUCAAGUACAGCACGUCCGAGGUGCAGCAGUACGCCAACGCCGCCCACGGCUACAACUGGGGCCUGUGGUGCAUGUACAUCGUCCCCCGCAGGACUGGCUGGACCGCGGUGACGAGGCCGCGCCCAUCAGACCCAAAAGGAGAUUCUAGCUCUUUCUGAACGUGACGUUGCGGAGCCUCUUGGGCCGCUGGGUGGCGCCCCCGUUCCACCCAGGGCAGUGGGGCUGCCCCAGCUGGGAGCUCUCCCGGCGCCUCACCGAAUGCAGCGUCUCCUUUCCAGGGGCUCUGGAACCUUACCCUCAGAGUCGGGGGCAAACCCUGCUUUCUCGGCGACCCCAC
rnacentral:lncRNA from 1 species